CUACGGGCCGCAGCAGUCGAGAAUCAUUCGCAAUGCGCGAAAGCGUGACGAUGCGACGCUGCGUGUAGGAUGACGGCCUUCGGGUUGUAAACUACUGUCAGAAGGGAGCAAUGUGACAUAUAUUAAUACUAUGUGUCAGUGAUAGUACCUUCAGGGGAAGCCACGGCUAACUCUGUGCCAGCAGCCGCGGUAAUACAGAGGUGGCGAGCGUUGUUCGGAUUUACUGGGCGUAAAGGGUGCGUAGGCGGCGUUGUAUGUCGGAUGUGAAAGCCCACGUUUCAUGCGUGGAACUGCAUUCGAAACUGCAAUGCUAGAGUAUGGGAGAGGAAAGUGGAAUUCAUGGUGUAGCGGUGAAAUGCGUAGAUAUCAUGAAGAACACCGGAGGCGAAGGCGACUUUCUGGAACAUUACUGACGCUGAGGCACGAAAGCCAGGGGAGCAAAAAGGAUUAGAUACCCGUGUAGUC
rnacentral:rRNA from 1 species